UUAUGAUGCCUGGCAUCCAGUAGGCACAUAAUAAAUGCUUGUUGAAUGAAAGAAUAAGUUUUAGAUGCAUUAUUGAAUACAUCUUAGCUCUUCCCCAUUGUCCUGGGUAUGCUUGUGACAUCAAUCAGAAUUCCAGCAGUCAGAAGUCAUAGAUCCUGAUGCUCAAGAUCACUCAACUGGAAUGAAAAAGGAGCUUGUGAUGACAGAUGAUACUUGGAAGACUAGCAAAAGGUGAAGACAGCAGAGCCAGAGCCAAACAAACAUCAGUUCUACCAAGUAGAUUUCCUUAUUGGCCACACCUGGCAGCCUGAUCAUCAUUCCUACCCUGUAAGUUUCUCUCACCUCCUGUGUGAUACUCACUUUUAAUUCUUCAGCCACUAUUGUCUACCAUG